AUGGCAAAGCUUGCUGCUACUCGCUUCCAGUGUUGUGUACUGUGCUCCUGCUCUCUAAUGUACUAUCUGAAGCUUGUACAGCCUGCCAGAGCAAAAAAAUGGGAAGGCACUAAUCUGAAGUUCAGAUAUGAUAAAGAAAGAAGUCGUGCGAUCUCGGAUCUAGUGAUUUUCCAUGAGCUAUGGCCCCUUUCCCUGAUGCAUAAACGCGGACGGCCGCCCCGCAACAUACAUCUUUCUCCCGCUGCUCUAGCAAGCAAGCUCCCAGCAUCGCACCUCCAGCCUGCGACCUACCCUUCUGCCACAUCUCCACCAGCCGUUGCUACCUCCCGGACAUAUGAAUGGCGUUGCCGAAGUCCACAUUGUACCACACCAGCAGGACGACUCCUACAGGUCGUGCCAAUCGUCUUUCUUCCUCUAGUGAAGUAG
rnacentral:rRNA from 1 species